ACAUGCAAGUCGAACGAAGCUUGACGGAUGAUUUCUUCGGAAUGAAACCAGAUAUGACUUAGUGGCGGACGGGUGAGUAACACGUGAGCAACCUGCCUUUCAGAGGGGGAUAACGGCUGGAAACGGUCGCUAAUACCGCAUGAUGUGUUCGGAUGGCAUCAUCUGAACAUCAAAGAUUUAUCGCUGAAAGAUGGGCUCGCGUCUGAUUAGAUAGUUGGUGGGGUAACGGCCUACCAAGUCGGCGAUCAGUAGCCGGACUGAGAGGUUGAACGGCCACAUUGGGACUGAGAUACGGCCCAGACUCCUACGGGAGGCAGCAGUGGGGAAUAUUGCACAAUGGGGGAAACCCUGAUGCAGCAACGCCGCGUGAAGGAUGACGGUUUUCGGAUUGUAAACUUCUUUUCUUAGUGACGAAGACAGUGACGGUAGCUAAGGAAUAAGCAUCGGCUAACUACGUGCCAGCAGCCGCGGUAAUACGUAGGAUGCAAGCGUUAUCCGGAUUUACUGGGUGUAAAGGGAGCGCAGGCGGGACUGCAAGUUGGAUGUGAAAUACCGUGGCUUAACCACGGAACUGCAUCCAAAACUGUAGUUCUUGAGUGAAGUAGAGGCAAGCGGAAUUCCGAGUGUAGCGGUGAAAUGCGUAGAUAUUCGGAGGAACACCAGUGGCGAAGGCGGCUUGCUGGGCUUUAACUGACGCUGAGGCUCGAAAGUGUGGGGAGCAAACAGGAUUAGAUACCCUGGUAGUCCACACUGUAAACGAUGAUAGCUAGGUGUGGGGGGUCUGACCCCUUCCGUGCCGGAGUUAACGCAAUAAGCUAUCCACCUGGGGAGU
rnacentral:rRNA from 1 species